GAUGAACGCUGGCGGCGUGCCUAAUACAUGCAAGUCGAGCGAACAGACGAGAGUGCUUGCACUCUCUGACGUUAGCGGCGGACGGGUGAGUAACACGUGGGUAACCUACCUAUAAGACUGGGAUAACUUCGGGAAACCGGAGCUAAUACCGGAUAAUAUUUAGCUUCGCAUGAAGCAAUAGUGAAAGACGGUUCUGCUGUCACUUAUAGAUGGACCCGCGGUGUAUUAGCUAGUUGGUGAGGUAACGGCUCACCAAGGCAACGAUACAUAGCCGACCUGAGGGGGGUAUCGGCCACACUGGGACUGAGACACGGCCCAGACUCCUACGGGAGGCCGCAGUAGGGAAUCUUCCGCAAAGGACGAAAGUCUGACGGAGCAAUGCCGCGUGAGUGAAGAAGGUUUUCGGAUCGUAAAACUCUGUUGUAAGGGAAGAACAAGUACGUUAGUAACUGAACGUACCUUGACGGUACCUUACCAGAAAGCCACGGCUAACUACGUG
rnacentral:rRNA from 1 species